rnacentral:lncRNA from 1 species
AAAAGCUACAGUUUAAAAGUAAAACAAUAUUGCCAUUGCUGUGAAAGCAUAAUGUAGGAGUGCCAAAUGAGAAAUCUUUGAUGAAAUUUGAGCAACUAGAUGUUCAAUAAGGCAGUCAACAUUGAGCAUCCCUUAUAUGGUAUUGUAUUAAGUCAUAAAAGAUCCUGACAUAAUAAAAUGUUAAGCUAUUCAAAUUUAAGAACCAACAACCUGAUUUAUUAAAAAAAAAAACGAAAAACAACAAAUGAUAGACAGCAACCAAUGAUAUCAUGACGUUGGACAGUCAUAUACAGAUGGUGUGUUAAACAUGUUUGCAAGCCUCCACUAACCUAGGCCAGGGUUUAACUGUGCAACAUAUAGCAACUGUAGCUGAUGAAAUUGUGAUAUGGAUACUAACUCAAAUCUAAACCCGAAAUAAUGAUAAUAAAAAAAACCAGGUAAAAUUAAAAAAAAAUCAACUGUGGCA